UAGAAUGAUAGAGGAGCAAUGAUUAUUAGUACUUCUAAGGAGCUAGGUCUGAGUGUAGAAUUAGGAGGAAAGGGAUUAUUGCCGAAGCCCUAAAAGCAAUUGCUAUCUCUUAGGGUUGGGGAUAUAAUUAAUAGUUAUAUUACUGCCACUUUGUGGAGAGCUAUCUUACGA
rnacentral:ncRNA from 2 species